rnacentral:tRNA from 1 species
AGGGGUGUAGCUCAGUUGGUAGAGCGGCGGUCUCCAAAACCGCAGGCCGAGGGUUCGAAGCCUUCCGCCCCUGCCA